rnacentral:rRNA from 1 species
UACGUAGGGUGCAAGCGUUGUCCGGAAUUAUUGGGCGUAAAGAGCUCGUAGGCGGUCUGUCGCGUCGGCUGUGAAAACUCGGGGCUCAACCCCGAGCCUGCAGUCGAUACGGGCAGACUAGAGUGCUGUAGGGGAGACUGGAAUUCCUGGUGUAGCGGUGAAAUGCGCAGAUAUCAGGAAGAACACCCGUGGCGAAAGCGGCUCUCUGGGACGGUACUGACGCUGAGACGCGAAAGCGUGGGGAGCGAACAGG